ensembl:lncRNA LINC00939 long intergenic non-protein coding RNA 939
AGAAGCCUGUGGGGCCGAGAUGCCCGGACCUGCCCGGCCCGAACUAGGCAAAGUCCAGCGAAUAGCCUCCUCCCCAGGGCACCAGGAGAGACCAGGAUUGGAGGACGGUAAAGAACACACUUCCCAGAGGAUUCUUGGAGCAAAAUAUUACACAAGGUCCAGGGCAAGGCAGGAUGGCCACCUCGCUCACUCAUCACAGCUGUCCUCUGACCUGAGCAGGGCCGUUCUGUCUCAGACCUGGAGACCCCGCACUCAGGGCGUUCAGGAACUCCCCGACCCACCAGGAGCCUCUCCUGGUGUCUCCCAGGGAUUGUCAAUAGUUCCAUUUUCCUUGAAGAACUUGUUUUCAGGUGGCUUCCUCCAGGCAGUAAAUCUACAGCCCAGGCUCCCUGCAUCUUAUGGCUCCAAUCACUUUGGAUCUCAUCGUCGCCUGCACAUUGCCAUACACAGGGAAGGAGAAGAGAUGGAGAAGGCAAAGACUUUCUGAAAGCCGUGGCUAAAAGCUGGCAUGUGUCACAUCAGCUCACAUUCCAUUGUAGAGACGGGGUUUCACCGUGUUAGCCAGGAUGGUCUUGAUAUCCUGACCUCGUGAUCCGCCCGCCUUGGCUUCCCAAAGUGCUGGGAUUACAGGCGUGAGCCACCGCUCCCGGCCUGGCAGGCAUUCUUGAGGCAAACGGGAAAUGGGUGAACGGGAGGAACAUUGGCAGCACUUGUGGUCUGCACCAAGAACUGAAUCGAAUUUCCAUGUGUUAUUGAAUGUUCACAAAGACCUUGUACAGCGAGUGUUACUACCUCUGGUCAAUGAUUCAACUCAAGGCUCAGAAAAGUCAAGUGUCUUGUCCAGGGACACUUAGUCAGAAGUGAAUCCAAGGUUUAAGCUCAAGUCUGCCUAACUCUGAAUUUCACAGCCUUUUGCUACAUAUGGCGAAUAAUAUAUCCCUGAGCACUAAAGGCAGACUCCAAGGAUCUUGUCUCUGCAAUCAUCAUUCUGGCCAUAAUUUAUGAAAAGCAACCCAAAGUAUGUGAUGUAAUAAAAAGUACUAUCUAUGAGUUUACCCUUCCAAAAAUUGAACUGAAUUCUGAGCUCUAAAUUUGGAAUCAAAAGAACUUUUCUCUGCACUAAUCAUUUGGAACAUCACUUAAAGAAAACAACGAAAAACUGGUGUCCCCUGAGAGAAAGCAAUACAAAACAUUAUGCAUAAAGAAAUCCUUCCAAAAAAUAAACCAAAUCCAGUCAAA